UUGUUUUGAUCUAGUGGGAGCGCACAAGACGUGAUGUUGCUGUCACCACCAUUGCUCCUCAGCCGGAGCGAAAUGGACCCAUUUUUCUCUCCAAAUAUUCAAGAUCUGCAGAUGUGCAGGGUUUUAAAGCCAUUAAGUACCAUCGAAAAGCCAAAACAGUUUUUUGACAUUUCGAGUUGAAGAUCAAUAUAGUUUGUUCUUCUAAAUCAUUCAACUACGCUUUUUUCUCUUCCAAAAUCCAGCACUUUACUUUAUGUUAGAGUG